ensembl:lncRNA
GCUCAAGUUGCUGCAGAUAAAUCUGGGAAGUGAAGAAAUACUAGAAACUUCCUUAAGUAGUUUAAGUAAACUCCUUUACUGAGAAGGUCUUAGAAACCCUUCCCUUUGCUGCGCUCCGAAAAUCGCAACCUUGCUGGGCUUCUGGUUGCCGAUCUAGUUUUUGCCCUCCCGCUUCUUCAUUAGGUCCUUGAGAGAGCUGUGAAACACAGAUCUAUCCUGUUCAGUGCUGCGGGCCCGCGCUCUGGAAAGUUUCUGCAUUUCUUUGAGCGGCUGCUUUCCCCACCGAGUUUCCCGGGGCCCGGGCACCCGCAGCCCUCCUCUCUCUGCAGAACGUGAGGGGCGUGAGCAGUCGGGCGGUGGGCUCGUCUCUCCCCGGCUGCUGCCCAUGCAGCCAUCUCUCAUUCUCCUCUCCCUAGUGAGCCCUUCUGGAAGAAAUUGGGCCCUAAGUGUGGUCUCAGCUCUCUCAAGUGAUGGGGAGCCUUGGAGAUGGUUUGAGAACCAAGUUCUGCACGCUAGUAUCCAUUCUCCCAACUGAUAAUGACGCUUCAGUUGCCCGUAAGGAAGACCCUCCUUCCCCCAUUGGAUACAACCUUACUUCGACUGUUACUCAAGGUGUCCUACCCUCCUCUGGCCAGUGGCUCUUUUUGGAAAAUUCCCUACGAGAACCGAAAUUUAAACCCAUUUACUUUAUAAGAAGCAGCAGAAAGGUCGCUCUUCCCAGUCUUCAUGCACCUGCAGGGCUGUCAACACUGGGAGGACUGGAAGAAAUUUGUAAAGAGUCUGGGAGUCUUCAGAGAGGAAAAGAGUGCAGACCUGGACUCCUCCUUUUCCAAUGUCUUUAUUAUUAGAAGGUUUUCUAUGCAUUGAGCCGGUUCUGAUUAAGAAAGGAUCUAAUAAGAAGGAACAUUGAAGACCUUAAGCUGUUAGCCCUGCUGUGGCCGGCAUUACCCGAUGGGACAGGCUAUCCGGUCAUGGGCACGACUGGAGGCAGAAGGCCCUCCUGACCCGGCCACUGUGCUCUGUAAACUAAAAAGCUGUUGGCGCGGAUGCCAUGUCUUACCUCUGAGGAGCAGGCUGCUUCUCUCUUGACGAAUCGCUGUGGCCACUAUUGGAAUCUGCAACAGCAAAGGCCAGCGCACACCAGGCGAAAAGGUCACCCUGGCCUGUGGGGGAUCCGUUUUCAUCAGUAAACGGUGCCAGGAGCAGAACACCAGCAGCCUUCAGCUUGUAUUCUCUCAGACUCUCUGGUUUUCUCCCUCUGAGGUGGAUCAAGAGGCCCCCAGAGUUUUUGAACAAUUUGAUAGACAAGAGAGACCUUGGACUCCCUGCUAGUCUGGCAAUUGAGAAGUGGUUUUAAUUUGGAAAAAAUAACAGGUGGGACCUCAUUUUUACCCAAAACUAUUGAAGUAGAUCCUACUAUUACCACAUGUACAUAUAUAUUUUACAAAUAUGUCAUCAUAACAUAUAUUGUUUAAUACUUGAUAAGUUCUGUAAAAGUUUCUUUUUUCUCUCUCCUAGAUGUUAUGACCUGAGAAGACUGAAUGUAUUUUCUUGUGGUCUUGUGCUUUGCAGUUUUGAAUAUAUAGUUUAGAUCAAUAAAGAUAUAUUAAUGGAAGAA